rnacentral:rRNA from 1 species
GAAACUACAAAGGAAUUGGACGGGGCCCGCACAAGCGGUGGAGUAUGUGGUUUUAAUUCGAUGCAACGCGAAGAACCUUACCUGGUCUUGACAUCCCGGAGACCCUUAGGAAACUAGGGGGUGCUUCCAUCUGGAAGAAUCUGGAGACAGGUGCUGCAUGGCUGUCGUCAGCUCGUGUCGUGAGAUGUUGGGUUAAGUCCCGCAACGAGCGCAACCCUUGCCUUCAGUUGCCAGCAGGUUCGGCGUGGCACUCGUAAAGGACUGCCGGUGUUAAACCGGAGGAAGGUGGGGAUGACGUCAAGUCCUCAUGGCCUUUAUGACCAGGGCUACACACGUACUACAAUGGCCGAUACAAAGGGCAGCGACACUGCGAGGUGAAGCCAAUCCCGUAAAAUCGGUCUCAGUCCGGAUUGGAGUCUGCAACUCGACUCCAUGAAGUUGGAAUCGCUAGUAAUCGUGGAUCAGCAUGCCACGGUGAAUACGUUCCCGGGCCUU